rnacentral:rRNA from 1 species
ACCCGUCCACGGGUUCCGUGCCGCAGCUAACGCAUUAAGCGCCCCGCCUGGGGAGUACGGCCGCAAGGCUAAAACUCAAGGGAAUUGACGGGGGCCCGCACAAGCGGCGGAGCAUGCGGAUUAAUUCGAUGCAACGCGAAGAACCUUACCUGGGUUUGACAUACGCCGGAAACAUCCAGAGAUGGGUGCCCUUUUUGUCGGUGUACAGGUGGUGCAUGGCUGUCGUCAGCUCGUGUCGUGAGAUGUUGGGUUAAGUCCCGCAACGAGCGCAACCCUUAUCCUAUGUUGCCAGCAAGCCUUUCGAGGUGUUGGGGACUCAUGGGAGACUGCCGGGGUCAACUCGGAGGAAGGUGGGGAUGACGUCAAGUCAUCAUGCCCCUUAUGUCCAGGGCUUCACGCAUGCUACAAUGGCCGGUACAAAGGGCUGCGAUGCUGUAAGGCGGAGCGAAUCCCAAAAAGCCGGUCUCAGUUCGGAUUGGGGUCUGCAACUCGACCCCAUGAAGUCGGAGUCGCUAGUAAUCGCAGAUCAGCAACGCUGCGGUGAAUACGUUCCCGGGCCUUGUACACACCGCCCGUCACGUCACGAAAGUCGGCAACACCCGAAGCCGGUGGCCCAACCAACUUGUUGGGGGGAGCUGUCGAAGGUGGGGCUGGCGAUGGACGAAGU